rnacentral:rRNA from 1 species
UAAACGCUGGCGGCAUGCCUUACACAUGCAAGUCGAACGGCAGCACGGGGCAACCCUGGCGGCGAGCGGCGAACGGGUGAGUAACAUAUCGGAACGUACCCCGUCGUGGGGGAUAACACAGCGAAAGCUGUGCUAAUACCGCAUACGACCUGAGGGUGAAAGCGGGGGAUCGCAAGACCUCGCGCGAUGGGAGCGGCCGAUAUCGGAUUAGCUUGUUGGUGAGGUAAUGGCCUACCAAGGCGACGACGGGUAGCCGGCCUGAGAGGGUGACCGGCCACACUGGGACUGAGAUACGGCCCAGACUCCUACGGGAGGCAGCAGUGGGGAAUAUUGCACAAUGGGCGCAAGCCUGAUGCAGCGACGCCGCGUGAGGGAUGACGGCCUGGUGUACGUACUUCUAGUCACAGACGAAGACGC